rnacentral:rRNA from 1 species
GACGAACGCUGGCGGCGUGCUUAACACAUGCAAGUCGAACGGUGAAGCCCCAGCUUGCUGGCGUGGAUUAGUUGCGAACGGGUGAGUAACACUUGAGCAACCUGCCCCUGACUCUGGAAUAAGCUCUGGAAACGGCGUCUCAUCCUGGAUACGAGAAGGGUCCUCAUGGUCACUUUCUGUAAAGUUUGUUGGUUGGGGAUGGGCUCGCGGCCUAUCAGCUUGUUGGUGAGGUAAUGGCUCACCAAGGCCACGACGGGUAGCCGGCCUGAGAGGGCGACCGGCCACACUGGGACUGAAACACGACACAGACUACUACGGGAGGCAGCAGUGGGGAAUAUUGCACAAUGGGCGAAAGCCUGAUGCAGCGAAGCCGCGUGAGGGAUGACAGCAUUCGGGUUGUAAACCUAUUUCAGCAGGGAAGAAGCGAAAGUGACGGUACCUGCAGAAGAAGCACCGGCUAACUACGUG